GCCCUGGUGGUGCACUGGUUAUGCGCUCAGCUGCUAACUGAAAGGUUGGUGGUUCGAGUCCACCCAGUGGCU
rnacentral:tRNA from 1 species